rnacentral:rRNA from 1 species
UACGUAGGGUGCGAGCGUUGUCCGGAAUUAUUGGGCGUAAAGAGCUCGUAGGCGGCUUGUCGCGUCGGUUGUGAAAGCCCGGGGCUUAACUCCGGGUCUGCAGUCGAUACGGGCAGGCUAGAGUGUGGUAGGGGAGAUCGGAAUUCCUGGUGUGGCGGUGAAAUGCGCAGAUAUCAGGAGGAACACCGGUGGCGAAGGCGGAUCUCUGGGCCAUUACUGACGCUGAGGAGCGAAAGCGUGGGGAGCGAACAGG